rnacentral:rRNA from 1 species
AUUGAACGCUGGCGGCAGGCCUAACACAUGCAAGUCGAGCGGAUGAAGGGAGCUUGCUCCUGGAUUCAGCGGCGGACGGGUGAGUAAUGCCUAGGAAUCUGCCUGGUAGUGGGGGAUAACGUCCGGAAACGGGCGCUAAUACCGCAUACGUCCUGAGGGAGAAAGUGGGGGAUCUUCGGACCUCACGCUAUCAGAUGAGCCUAGGUCGGAUUAGCUAGUUGGUGGGGUAAAGGCCUACCAAGGCGACGAUCCGUAACUGGACUGAGAGGAUGAUCAGUCACACUGGAACUGAGACACGGUCCAGACUCCUACGGGAGGCAGCAGUGGGGAAUAUUGGACAAUGGGCGAAAGCCUGAUGCAGCCAUGCCGCGUGUGUGAAGAAGGUCUUCGGAUUGUAAAGCACUUUAAGUUGGGAGGAAGGGCAGUAAGUUAAUACCUUGCUGUUUUGACGUUACCAACAGAAUAAGCACCGGCUAACUUCGUG